UGUCCAGAUUGGCCGGAGCUUCCCCGUGCCCGCUACGAGGAGGAAUCACCGGAGCUCCCCCGUGACCGGUACUGGCAGGAGCCGCUGGAAUUCCCCCGCGCCCGCUACGAGGAGGAGCCAUUGGAGCCUCCCCGUCCCUGCUGUUACCCGGAGGAGCCACCUGAGCACGUCUGGCCGGACUUCCCCGAGGAGCUGCCAGACCUGCCACCAAGCCCUGGUCGAGAGGAGCCCAUGCUCGUUGACUGGCCUGGAACCGGUGACACGGACGAGAGACCCUUUUCCAACUAGAGGACCUAUAUCCUGGAAAGCAAUAACUGUGAAGAGGACCCAGGGGAUCAACGUAGAUAACCAACUGUGCCAUGAGCGUCCCGUGCAAUGCAUUGUGUUAGCCCCUUUUGCCACAGAGCUCGUUCAGUUAAGACACAACCUGAUCAGUCUGUACCUCCUCGGAGUGAAGAUGUCUGAUCAAAAGCAGAAUGAGAUCCAAAAGAGGUGGAGGGAAUUGAAGUUAAAAAAAUUCAAAUUGAAAAUAUAAUGCAACUUUUUAACACUGAGAAUAAUUAGCCACUAGGCUGUUGAAUGUUAUGAAGGGAUGUGAUUAAUCAUCACUUAGAGACUUCAAACAGAGUCUGUAUGUCUUUUGAAAAGGUAUGGUUUAGUUUAGUGUUUCUCAGGGGGACCACCAAAGGCAAUGGUUUCAAGGCAUAGAAAAUGUUAUUACAAACUAAAGCAAAUAAAUUCUUGCUCCCCACUCACCCUUACACUUCAAGGUGUCUCUGCCAACCUCUCAAAACACACACAAAUUCUGGGGGUAGAUCAGUGUUAUCAUUGAAUAAUAAAUAGUAAAUAAUGUUCACUAUUACUUUCGUAAAUGUGAGAGGUUGCAGAGAAUUUUGACAUUGAAGAAGUUGUCUCCCACCUGCAAAGUUUGAGAAAAACUGAUCAAAUUCAACCACGUGUUAUAGGAAUUGCUGGGAGAAAUCCUGUGACCAGAGGAACAUAAUGGCCCAUUCUUAAACUCAUGCCAUUCUUAAACUCUAUGACUCUAUUACAAGGGUUCCUUCUUGAUAAUGUAACACAUUAGAGUUCAGUUAGAUUAACUUUCCAUAUGCCACUGUGCUGACUCUGCUGCACAUUCUGUUGCAAUGGGAUGCUUCAUAAAACAUGGGGGAUAUGAGGCCGCCCUGCUCCUGCUCUUCACCUGACCCAGCUCCACUCAUGGGACCCUUGUGAGCCACCCACACAAAGAUUUCUGGGGGAUCAGGAAGAGGGGGCAGAGUGAAGCAGAGUCACAGCUCCCCUCCAGCUGUGCCAUCCCCAGAGGAAAUGUGUUAGUGCUGAGUUCCUUCUGCUCUGAAAAGCUAAGUCCAGUCUGGACCAAGGCAGUUACUAUGCAGGAAGAAGCUCUCCUGGGGACUGCAACUUUACUGGCUAUCGGAACAGGAGAUCAUUAGUACAAGUUUCACAGCAAAUCACUUUAUUGGAGCAGGUUAACAAUAAAUCACUCAGAGAAGCUAGCAGACUGGAAACCCUUCAACCCUUUCUUGGAAGCCGACAUGAGCAUGUUGGGAUGGAAGCGGUUGGAAACACAGUGGGUUUGUGGAGCCACCUCCAUGCUGGAGCUUACUCCUGGGUUGGUGCUAUGCGUAAUGUGCUCUGGUGCACCUCAUGCUCGGUUCUUCUUCUCCCAUCCGAGAUAGUGAUCAACUCAAUCAACCUUGAGAUGGCACUUUAGAGCACAGAUGACCAGCACUGUGUGAGGAGAUCUCUUGGCCAGUGGCACACCAUGAUUUUUUCCCUGUUGGUGGGUGGCUCAUUUAUCCCCUGCUGAUACUGGGAGGUGCUGGAAGUUACUAUCUCCACAAAGAACAUGAUCCCCUCCCCAUCCCCUUUCCCACCCCAUGUGAAGCUGUAGAAAUUGGAGAUCUCACACUGUCUUAGGCUGUGGUGAUAGAGGUUUGCUGAUGAUCUGUUUGGUUGACUCCUUCUGUUUCACCCAUGUGGACACUCCUUUCAAUCUGUCUCUAGGUGUCAUGGAGAUAAAGGGGCAGGAUAGUCCCAAGGUCGGCUCAAACUCCUCUGGGGGCCCCUCUAUGAGCACAGAAUCAUAGAAAUGUAGAGCUCAGGGACCUCCAGAGGUCAUCUUAUCCCAGGAGAAGGGAUUGAAAGGAAAAUAAAUGGCAGAAAGAGGCCAGAAGAUCCCUAAAUAAGCCUCCUAGUUAGAGCUGUGUGAAGGGUCCGGAGGGAAGGGAACACCCCAGAGGAAGCUGACGAUCAGGGAGAGCAUGAAGGAGACUGGGAGGGCGAGGUCCGAGAGAAAGUUCUGGCAUGGCUUUGGGGGACAAACAGCAGGAUACCAGGCUAUGAAGCACUGCACAGGAUGAGCUGCGCUUUCCCAAAUUCACUGAUUCUGUGGUGUGUGGAGCAAUGAAGUGCAAGCAUGGGCAGAGCUCUAACUCUGCCCCUUCCUGUGGGGGCAUCUGAUUGAUGGCACCCCAGGAUGGCAAGGUCUGCAGCCCAUUGGAACUAGCACCAGCCAGCUCUCAGGGGACGCAGAAAUGAAAGCUUGUCAUUGAAAUUGAUCGAUUCAUAGUUUGGAAGCUGUUCACCUUUCCGGGCAACAUAAUUCAAGCCGCUUCCAUCCUCACAUUCGCACAAUAGCCAAGCACCGCUCUGCACCAUAUGGGAAGACACUCGGUCAUUGAAAGAUCCCUUGCUCAGACUGGUUGCUUCUUUUACCACCUUGAUUUCCCCUUCAUAGUUGAUAUGUUCAUACAGGGUGAUCUUGGGAUUCUUCAGGUCUUCAGUAAUCAGCUUGAGAGAAGUGAUCUUGUCAUUCAUAUCUUCACCAACAAAGCUGUAUUCACCUUCCUCAAACACCAGGAACUUGCCUGAAUAAUUAGGAUUCUCAUAGGCCACCCAGGGUUGGCCAGUGACCUUUACAGAAGAGACACAGUGGCCCCACUCUACGGGCUUCAAGUCAGCAAUGUCAGAAAUGAAUUCUUUGGAUUUACCUUGGAAGUUUAUAUGC